GACGAACGCUGGCGGCGUGCUUAACACAUGCAAGUCGAACGGAAAGGCCCUGCUUUUGUGGGGUGCUCGAGUGGCGAACGGGUGAGUAACACGUGAGUAACCUGCCCUUGACUUUGGGAUAACUUCAGGAAACUGGGGCUAAUACCGGAUAGGAGCUCCUGCUGCAGGGGGGGGGUUGGAAAGUUUCGGCGGUUGGGGAUGGACUCGCGGCUUAUCAGCUUGUUGGUGGGGUAGUGGCUUACCAAGGCUUUGACGGGUAGCCGGCCUGAGAGGGUGACCGGCCACAUUGGGACUGAGAUACGGCCCAGACUCCUACGGGAGGCAGCAGUGGGGAAUAUUGCACAAUGGGCGGAAGCCUGAUGCAGCAACGCCGCGUGCGGGAUGACGGCCUUCGGGUUGUAAACCGCUUUCGCCUGUGGCGAAGCGUGAGUGACGGUAAUGGGUAAAGAAGCACCGGCUAACUACGUG
rnacentral:rRNA from 1 species